GCAGUCGUGGCUGAGUGGUUAAGGCGAUGGACAAGAAAGCCAUUGGGGUCUCCCUGCACAGGUUCGAAUCCUGUCGACUGCG
rnacentral:tRNA from 2 species